UACGUAGGGGGCAAGCGUUGUCCGGAUUUAUUGGGCGUAAAGAGCUCGUAGGUGGUUCGGUAAGUCGGAUGUGAAAUCUCCAGGCUCAACCUGGAGGGGUCAUUCGAUACUGCCGUGACUAGAGGUCGGUAGGGGAGUGUGGAAUUCCUGGUGGAGCGGUGAAAUGCGCAGAUAUCAGGAGGAACACCCGUAGCGAAGGCGGCACUCUGGGCAGUAACUGACGCUGAGGAGCGAAGCGUGGGGAGCGAACAGG
rnacentral:rRNA from 1 species